CAGCAGCCGCGGUAAUACGAAGGGGGCUAGCGUUGCUCGGAAUGACUGGGCGUAAAGGGCGCGUAGGCGGCGAUCAAAGUCAGGCGUGAAAUUCCUGGGCUCAACCUGGGGGCUGCGCUUGAUACUUGGUUGCUUGAGUGGGGAAGAGGGUCGUGGAAUUCCCAGUGUAGAGGUGAAAUUCGUAGAUAUUGGGAAGAACACCGGUGGCGAAGGCGGCGACCUGGUCCUUGACUGACGCUGAGGCGCGAAAGCGUGGGGAGUAAACAGGAUUAGAUACCCGCGUAGUCCCUGUCUCUUAUAC
rnacentral:rRNA from 1 species